rnacentral:rRNA from 1 species
CCUACGGGGGGCUGCAGUCGAGAAUAAUUCACAAUGGGGGCAACCCUGAUGGUGCAACGCCGCGUGGAGGAUGAAGGUCUUCGGAUUGUAAACUCCUGUCAUCUGGGAGUAAGACCUGGGCAUGAAUAGUGCACAGGGUUGAUAGUACCAGAAGAGGAAGGGACGGCUAACUUCGUGCCAGCAGCCGCGGUAAUACGAAGGUCCCAAGCGUUGUUCGGAAUCACUGGGCGUAAAGGGAGCGUAGGCGGUGUGGUAAGUCAGACGUGAAAUCCCGG